GAUCAACGCUGGCGGCGUGCCUAAUCAAUGCGAGUCGUGCGGUCCUUCGGGACAGCGGCGUCCGGGUGAGUAACGCGUAGCUAACCUGCCUACCGGUGGGGGAUACCCGCCAGAAAUGGCGGCUAAUACCGCAUAGCUUGACCAGGGGCAACCCUGGGCAAGAAAACAGCGAUGUGCCGGCAGAGGGGGCUGCGUCCGAUUAGCUUGACGGUGGGGUAACGGCCUACCGUGGCGACGANCGGUAGCUGGUCUGAGAGGACGGUCAGCCACACUGGGACUGAGACAUGGUCCAGAGCUC
rnacentral:rRNA from 1 species